GAUGAACGCUGGCGGCGUGCCUAAUACAUGCAAGUCGAGCGAACAGACGAGGAGCUUGCUCCUCUGACGUUAGCGGCGGACGGGUGAGUAACACGUGGAUAACCUACCUAUAAGACUGGGAUAACUUCGGGAAACCGGAGCUAAUACCGGAUAAUAUAUUGAACCGCAUGGUUCAAUAGUGAAAGACGGUUUUGCUGUCACUUAUAGAUGGAUCCGCGCCGCAUUAGCUAGUUGGUAAGGUAACGGCUUACCAAGGCGACGAUGCGUAGCCGACCUGAGAGGGUGAUCGGCCACACUGGAACUGAGACACGGUCCAGACUCCUACGGGAGGCAGCAGUAGGGAAUCUUCCGCAAUGGGCGAAAGCCUGACGGAGCAACGCCGCGUGAGUGAUGAAGGUCUUCGGAUCGUAAAACUCUGUUAUUAGGGAAGAACAAAUGAGUAAGUAACUAUGCACGUCUUGACGGUACCUAAUCAGAAAGCCACGGCUAACUACGUG
rnacentral:rRNA from 1 species